UACGUAGGGUGCAAGCGUUGUCCGGAAUUACUGGGCGUAAAGAGCUCGUAGCGGUUUGUCGCGUCGUCUGUGAAAUCCCGCAGCUCAACUGCGGGCUUGCAGGCGAUACGGGCAGACUUGAGUACUGCAGGGAGACUGGAAUUCCUGGUGUAGCGGUGAAAUGCGCAGAUAUCAGGAGGAACACCGGUGGCGAAGGCGGGUCUCUGGCAGUAACUGACGCUGAGGAGCGAAAGCGUGGGUAGCGAACAGG
rnacentral:rRNA from 1 species